rnacentral:tRNA from 1 species
UCUCUGUUAGUAUAUCGGUUAGUACACGCGCUUGUCACUGUACUAGCCGCGCGAAAGCGGGGUUCGACUCCCCGACAGAGAG